rnacentral:tRNA from 1 species
UGGUGUAGUUCGGUCCAUCAUGCCGCCCUUUCGAGGCGGCGACCCGGGUUCAAAUCCCGG